rnacentral:rRNA from 1 species
GACGAACGCUGGCGGCGUGCUUAACACAUGCAAGUCGAACGGAAAGGCCCUGCUUUUGUGGGGUGCUCGAGUGGCGAACGGGUGAGUAACACGUGAGUCACCUGCCCUUGACUUUGGGAUAACUUCAGGAAACUGGGGCUAAUACCGGAUAGGAGCUCCCGCUGCAUGGUGGGGGUUGGAAAGUUUCGGCGGUUGGGGAUGGACUCGCGGCUUAUCAGUUUGUUGGUGGGGUAGUGGCUUACCAAGGCGUUGACGGGUAGCCGGCCUGAGAGGGUGACCGGCCACAUUGGGAGUGAGAUGGGGCCGCGACUACUCGGGGAGCCAGCAAUGGGGAAUAUUGCGCAGUGGGCGGAGGCGUGACGCAGCAGCGCCGCGUUGGGGAUGACGGCCUUCGGGCUGUAACCCGUUUUCGGCUGUGACGAAGCGUGCAUGGCGAUACUGGGUGAAGAAGCUCCGGCUAGCCUCGGG